rnacentral:rRNA from 1 species
GACGAACGCUGGCGGCGUGCUUAACACAUGCAAGUCGAACGGUGAAAGCGGAGCUUGCUCCGCUGGAUCAGUGGCGAACGGGUGAGUAACACGUGGGCAACCUGCCCCUCGCUUCGGGAUAACUCCGGGAAACCGGGGCUAAUACCGGAUAUGACCUCCUUGGGCAUCCUUGGAGGUGGAAAGUUUUUCGGUGAGGGAUGGGCCCGCGGCCUAUCAGCUUGUUGGUGAGGUAGUGGCUCACCAAGGCGACGACGGGUAGCCGGCCUGAGGGGGGGACCGGCCACACUGGGACUGGGACACGGCCCAAACUCCUACGGGAGGCAGCAGUGGGGAAUAUGGCGCAAUGGGCGAAAGCCUGACGCAGCAACGCCGCGUGCGGGAUGACGGCCUUCGGGUUGUAAACCGCUUUCAGCAGGGAAGAAGCCGCAAGGUGACGGUACCUGCAGAAGAAGCACCGGCUAACUACGUGCCAGCCGCCGCAGUAA